rnacentral:rRNA from 1 species
AUUGAACGCUGGCGGCAUGCUUUACACAUGCAAGUCGAACGGCAGCACGGGUGCUUGCACCUGGUGGCGAGUGGCGGACGGGUGAGUAAUGCAGUCGGAACGUGUCCUGAAGUGGGGAUAACGCAUCGAAAGAUGUGCUAAUACCGCAUAUUCUCUGAGGAGGAAAGUAGGGGAUCGAAAGACCUUAUGCUUUUGGAGCGGCCGAUGUCUGAUUAGCUAGUUGGUGGGGUAAUGGCUUACCAAGGCGACGAUCAGUAGUUGGUCUGAGAGGACGACCAGCCACACUGGGACUGAGACACGGCCCAGACUCCUACGGGAGGCAGCAGUGGGGAAUUUUGGACAAUGGGCGCAAGCCUGAUCCAGCAAUGCCGCGUGAGUGAAGAAGGCCUUCGGGUUGUAAAGCUCUUUCAGUUGAGAAGAAAAAGUCGUGACUAAUAAUCAUGAUUCAUGACGGUAUCAACAGAAGAAGCACCGGCUAACUACGUG